AAAAAAGCAGGGGCUUGCUUCCUUUCCUAUGGGCUGGUCUCUCGUAUAAGUCAGGGAAACCAAGCCCAUUGUUAUUGGGUGAACCUCUGUCUUAACCAAUGGCUCGAGGUUCAGUAAAUGAUGGCACAUUU
rnacentral:snoRNA from 1 species